UUCCUACGGGAGGCAGCAGUGGGGAAUUUUGGACAAUGGGCGAAAGCCUGAUCCAGCAAUGCCGCGUGCAGGAUGAAGGCCCUCGGGUUGUAAACUGCUUUUGUACGGAACGAAAAGCCUGGGGCUAAUAUCCCCGGGUCAUGACGGCACCGUAAGAAUAAGCACCGGCUAACUACGUGCCAGCAGCCGCGGUAAUACGUAGGGUGCAAGCGUUAAUCGGAAUUACUGGGCGUAAAGCGUGCGCAGGCGGUUUUGUAAGACAGUGGUGAAAUCCCCGGGCUCAACCUGGGAACUGCCAUUGUGACUGCAAAGCUAGAGUGCGGCAGAGGGGGAUGGAAUUCCGCGUGUAGCAGUGAAAUGCGUAGAUAUGCGGAGGAACACCGAUGGCGAAGGCAAUCCCCUGGGCCUGCACUGACGCUCAUGCACGAAAGCGUGGGGAGCAAACAGGAUUAGAUACCCUGGUAGUCCACGCCCUAAACGAUGUCAACUGGUUGUUGGGUCUUAACUGACUCAGUAACGAAGCUAACGCGUGAAGUUGACCGCCUGGGGAGUACGGCCGCAAGGUUGAAACUCAAAUGAAUUGACGG
rnacentral:rRNA from 1 species